rnacentral:rRNA from 1 species
CAUCCAGAGAACUUGGCAGAGAUGCCUUGGUGCCUUCGGGACCUCUGAGACAGGUGCUGCAUGGCUGUCGUCAGCUCGUGUUGUGAAAUGUUGGUUAAGUCCCGNAACGAGCGCAACCCCUAUCCUUUGUUGCCAGCGAUUCGGUCGGGAACUCAAAGGAGACUGCCGGUGAUAAACCGGAGGAAGGUGGGGAUGACGUCAAGUCAUCAUGGCCCUUACGAGUAGGGCUACACACGUGCUACAAUGGCGCAUACAAAGAGAAGCGACCUCGCGAGAGCAAGCGGACCUCAUAAAGUGCGUCGUAGUCCGGAUCGGAGUCUGCAACUCGACUCCGUGAAGUCGGAAUCGCUAGUAAUCGUAGAUCAGAAUGCUACGGUGAAUACGUUCCCGGGCCUUGUACACACCGCCCGUCACACCAUGGGAGUGGGUUGCAAAAGAAGUAGAUAGCUUAACCUUCGGGAGGGCGUUUACCACUUUGUGAUUCAUGACUGGGGUGAAGUCGUAACAAGGUAGGCGUAGCGAG